UACGUAGGGGGCAAGCGUUGUCCGGAUUUACUGGGCGUAAAGAGCGUGUAGGCGGCCAAACAGGUCCGUUGUGAAAACUGGAGGCUCAACCUCCAGACGUCGACGGAACCGUAUGGCUAGAGUCCGGAAGAGGAGAGUGGAAUUCCGUGGUGUAGCGGUGAAAUGCGCAGAUAUCAGGAGGAACACCGGUGGCGAAGGCGGGUCUCUGGGCCGGAUACUGACGCUGAGACACGAAAGCGUGGGUAGCGAAACAGG
rnacentral:rRNA from 1 species